AAAAGUUCUGCCCCAUCAGCAUCUUCUCUCCUACCACUGAUGCAUUGUGGGUGUGCUUUGUUCUCUUCUAGGACCAUCACCACCGCAGUCGUGCUCUUCCAUUUGCUAGGAUUUUUUUCUUCACCACUGCUACACAAUCCAAGUCGCCUUCGCUUCCUAUGAGGCCCAGAGCCGAUCGAUCGGAGGUGCAGAGGGAGAAGGAGACCGAAGUAGCCGACUGCCCCUGAAGAGGUGGUGUAAAAGAAGAUGGGGGCAUCUGCUUCCGACCCAGCCGUUCCAUAGGAUACAGAGGUGGCAAUGGUUACCGAAUGGCCAUCCCUUAGGACGCAAGGGUGGCAACAGUUGCUGACCCAUCUAUUCCCCAAGGCAUGGAGGUGGUGAGCGAGGAUGUUAUCGCUCAUCUCACGUCUAACAUGAUUCCAUCGACCACUCUGGUCAACUCGUUCGGAUGGUGCCUGACCUAUGGAAGGUCGAGUAAUAGGGGAAACUCCCCAUGCUUGGAAUUUCCACUGCAUAACACUUCAAAGAAAGGAAAGGAUUUGCCCCAAUAUGUGGACUCUGGGGCAGGAAGGACUUUGUUGCUCGACGAGUCUUCUCAUUGAGCGGGGAUCUUCAAACGACCUAGGUGAUAUGGUCACAUCCCUUUCAGGUGAGUGCUCAUGAAGGAGGAGACAAAACAACUAGAGGCUACCGAGGUCAAGGGUGAUUGCUUAACCAUUGAUGAUGAGGAAUAGUUGAGGAUUGUCUCGCUCGACAAUUGCUAGGUCUUUGGUGAGAACUUCAUGAUUGAAUUUUGGACCCUCACCUGCUGCUACACUCAGGACGCUUGCUCAUAGAGGAGAUGACGAUGCAGAAGCUCAACCGAAGAGGGAAAGCGACUCUCGCUUGGGGAAAUCGUUGGAGAGCAAGAGGAGAAGAAAGAAGAAGGGCGCUGCUUUGGGGCUAUUCAUGGAGCCUAAUGCUGCUGCUGCUACCACCAUUUCAGUUGCUGCUAGCUGCUCCUGCUCUUGAUGCUACUGCUACUGCUGGCUAUUGCAUGUUGCUGGCUCUACUACUUUGCAUGCUGCCCUGCUGCUGUGUAAGGUGUCUGCUAUUGUCUCCUACCUUACAUACACUUAUGUAGGAGAAAAGAGAGGGCUAAUCAGCUACUGUUGUUGCCUCAGAUGGUGCUGAUGUUGUCCAAGAGGUUAUAUGCUUUACUACUGUUGCUAAGGGUGUCAUACAAAUGGUACAAGCUGCUAUGGUUGCUGUCCAAACAUUGAGCAAUGUUUGAGAUUUAAAAGUAACUGCAAGCAUAUAGAUCAUCAUAGCUAGGGGUCUAACACAAGGAGGCAACCACUUUAUUUUUGGCUUCUUCUAGUAAUGCGAAAGUGUACGGAUUGAUGAUUGUGAUUUA